UACGUAGGGUCCGAGCGUUGUCCGGAAUUAUUGGGCGUAAAGGGCUCGUAGGCGGUUUGUCGCGUCGGGAGUGAAAACUCAGGGCUCAACCCUGAGCGUGCUUCCGAUACGGGCAGACUAGAGGUAUGCAGGGGAGAACGGAAUUCCUGGUGUAGCGGUGGAAUGCGCAGAUAUCAGGAGGAACACCGGUGGCGAAGGCGGUUCUCUGGGCCGAUACUGACGCUGAGGAGCGAAAGCGUGGGGAGCGAACAGG
rnacentral:rRNA from 1 species